rnacentral:rRNA from 1 species
CCUACGAGCGGCAGCAGUGAGGAAUAUUGGUCAAUGGCCGGAAGGCUGAACCAGCCAUGCCGCGUGAAGGUCAGUGCCCUAUGGGCGUUACACUUCUUUUGUGCGGGAGCAAUAAUGGUCACGUGUGGCCAGACGAGCGUCCCGUACGAAUAAGCCUCGGCUAACUCCGUGCCAGCAGCCGCGGUAAUACGGGGGAUGCAAGCGUUAUCCGGAUUUUUUGGGUUUAACGGGUGCGUAGGCUGUGAGGUAAGUCAGCGGUGAAAUGCCCCCGCUCACCGGGGUGAAGUGCCAUUGAUACUGCCUCGCUGGAAUGCAGAUGCCGUGGGAGGAAUGUGUGGUGUAGCGGUGAAAUGCAUAGAUAUCACACAGAACACCGAUUGCGAAGGCAUCUCACGAAUCCGCGAUUGACGCCGAUGCACGAAAGCGUGGGUAUCAAACAGGAUUAGAUACCCGUGUAGUC